UUGUUUAUGUUUGUUUUUUUUGCCUUUUUUCAGUGUUUUUAAUUUUUUUUUUUUUUUUUUUUUUUGGUCUUUGUUUUCAGUUGCGCUCAAGAAGUGAGAUUUUAAAAAAAAAAAACAGACAAAAGGAAUUUUGAUUUCAAGCU
rnacentral:ribozyme from 1 species